rnacentral:rRNA from 2 species
UCCCCUUCGGGGGACAGAGUGACAGNCCCUGCAUGGUUGUCGUCAGCUCGUGUCGUGAGAUGUUGGGUUAAGUCCCGCAACNNGCNCAACCCUUGAUCUUAGUUGCCAGCAUUUAGUUGGGCACUCUAAGGUGACUGCCGGUGACAAACCGGAGGAAGGUGGGGAUGACGUCAAAUCAUCAUGCCCCUUAUGACCUGGGCUACACACGUGCUACAAUGGAUGGUACAAAGGGCUGCAAGACCGCGAGGUCAAGCCAAUCCCAUAAAACCAUUCUCAGUUCGGAUUGUANGCUGCAACUCGCCUACAUGAAGCUGGAAUCGCUAGUAAUCGCGGAUCAGCAUGCCGCGGUGAAUACNUUCCCGGGCCUUGUACACACCGCCCGUCACACCACGAGAGUUUGUAACACCC